rnacentral:rRNA from 1 species
AUUGAACGCUGGCGGAAUGCUUUACACAUGCAAGUCGAACGGCAGCACGGACUUCGGUCUGGUGGCGAGUGGCGAACGGGUGAGUAACAUAUCGGAACGUAUCCAAUAAUGGGAGAUAACUAAUCGAAAGGUUGGCUAAUACCGCAUACGCCCUACGGGGGAAAGCAGGGGAUCUUCGGACCUUGCGUUAAUGGAGCGGCUGAUAUCUGAUUAGCUAGUUGGUGAGGUAAAGGCUCACCAAGGCGACGAUCAGUAGCUGGUCUGAGAGGACGACCAGCCACACUGGAACUGAGACACGGUCCAGACUCCUACGGGAGGCAGCAGUGGGGAAUUUUGGACAAUGGGCGCAAGCCUGAUCCAGCCAUUCCGCGUGAGUGAAGAAGGUCUUCGGGUUGUAAAGCUCUUUCGCAAGGGAAGAAAACUUACUUUCUAAUAAAGAGUGAGGUUGACGGUACCUUGAUAAGAAGCACCGGCUAACUACGUGCCAGCAGCCGCGGUAA